rnacentral:rRNA from 1 species
GACGAACGCUGGCGGCGUGCUUAACACAUGCAAGUCGAACGGAAAGGCCCUUCGGGGUACUCGAGUGGCGAACGGGUGAGUAACACGUGGGUGAUCUGCCCUGCACUUUGGGAUAAGCCUGGGAAACUGGGUCUAAUACCGAAUAGGACCACGCGCUUCAUGGUGUGUGGUGGAAAGCUUUUGCGGUGUGGGAUGGGCCCGCGGCCUAUCAGCUUGUUGGUGGGGUAAUGGCCUACCAAGGCGACGACGGGUAGCCGGCCUGAGAGGGUGACCGGCCACACUGGGACUGAGAUACGGCCCAGACUCCUACGGGAGGCAGCAGUGGGGAAGAUUGCACAAUGGGCGCAAGCCUGAUGCAGCGACGCCGCGUGAGGGAUGACGGCCUUCGGGUUGUAAACCUCUUUCAAUAGGGACGAAGCGAAAGUGACGGUACCUAUAGAAGAAGCACCGGCCAACUACGUG